UACGGGGGGGGCAAGCGUUGUUCGGAAUUACUGGGCGUAAAGGGCCAGUAGGCGGCCAACUAAGUCGAGUGUAAAUCCCCAGGCUUAACCUGGGAACUGCGAUCGAUACUGGAUGGCUUGAAUUCGGGAGAGGGAUGCAGAAUUCCAGGUGUAGCGGUGAAAUGCGUAGAUAUCUGGAGGAAUACCGGUGGCGAAGGCGGCAUCCUGGACCGACAUUGACGCUGAACGGCGAAAGCUAGGGGAGCAAACGGGAGUUAG
rnacentral:rRNA from 1 species